rnacentral:rRNA from 1 species
AGUAACUUGCGAUAAGCCCAGAUUAGGUAGUAACAACCAUUUGAGUCUGGGAUUUCUGAAUGGGGAAACCCACGUGCAUAAGCACGUAUCCUUACCUGAAUACAUAGGGUAAGGAGGCGAACCGGGGGAACUGAAACAUCUAAGUACCCCGAGGAAAAGAAAUCAACCGAGAUUCCGAAAGUAGCGGCGAGCGAAAUUGGACUAGCCCUUAAGCUUUACACGCGUUAGACGAACGGUCUGGAAAGUCCGACGAUACA